UGGACAUGACAAUAAUUGUGGCUUCUGUUU
rnacentral:piRNA from 1 species